rnacentral:lncRNA from 1 species
UAGAUUCUGACUAAAAAAUGACGAGAGUUGAGCAAAAAGUUUCUAUUGCAAUGAAUUGUUUACAUCGAUGUAUGGCACAGAAUGAAACCAUGUAAGUAAAAAGUUUCAUUACUUCAAUUUCUUUUGAAGUAGAAAAAUGUUUCCUUAGUCUAACUAGUGUUUCUUCUAACUCUGAACUGUACAGUGUCUAUCCUGGUUUACUACAACUAUACAAAAUUAUGUAACUAAAAAAAUGGGGACUGGUUUCCUUCUCACUUCCGCAAUCGAGAUGUGAGAUCGAUGAACAAAUCCUCGCUGCAGGGAAUAGUCACACCACCCAUUGGAUGGUCGAAGCCAAAUUCUUCCUCAGAUUGACUAAGCAAGUCUUGAAAUAAAGGUUGGCUCAAGAAUGAUAUCGGGAUCACAAAUCUCUUCUUCUGCAUCUCCCCAACAUACACAGCAAAAUGACCCUUGGGAAUAUCUCUAGUUGCAGAAGACUUCUUGAUCAUACGAAGAAUAGCCAUGAUCUCUUAGUUUUAGUAUAGGUGAGAAAAAAGGAAGGAUUGUAAGGUUACCAAAAAGCAGAGAAAGCUUUGAUGUUUGCUGAGUGUUGUGGUGGUAGAUACCUCAUUAGAUAUGUUUAUAUAGGAAAUGGCAACUCAUAUUGAUGUGUGUUGAAUAGGAAUGUGUGGGUACCAGCAGAAGACAAUGGCACUGUAGUAUCACAUGCUCUUGCCUUCCAAGUAUUGAAAACUAUGUGGUAUUAGUUAAACAACAAUAGGCCCCACCUUAUUUUGAAACAUGGAAAGAGCCAUUUGGAUUGGACAUCAGUACAAGACAAUGAUAUAUUAGCAAUCACAUGGUCCUGCCCUCCAGCUAGUUUGACAUGAUUAAUUACUUUGGCAUAUAUAAGUUCAAGUUCAAUCGGUCCUACAUAUAUUAUCCUAUAGGGAACAAAGGAUCUCUAAGAAUCAAAUCCACAUAUAUUGCUGGUAGCUUAUGAGGAUAUCUAGGAAUUAACCAUACCCCAGAUGCAAACUGUGUCUACUUAUAUAAAAAGGAUAAGAGAUAAAAAGUUGGCUUAUUAAAUUCCGAGCCAGUUGGUCAAAAUCAGAUGAUCAAAUAGAAACAGGGGGAAUAUUAUAUAUGCAAGAACAAUCCAUUGAUUAAUAGUUGGCUCCCUAAGUACGUUUGGUAACUACUGUGAAUAUUACCAUAACCAACAUACACAAAGUAACAAAUACACCUAAAAAAACCUUCUAAUCACAUAACCACCUUCUAGAAAGGGUGCAAUGAGAAAAUAGGCCUCCAAAAUAAAGCUAAUCAUAUCAUAUCAUAUAUUAUUAUAAAUGGGAAGCUCCAGAGUAGAAAAGUUGAAUUACAAUUUUACCCUUAUGCUAAAUUCAAAUGUUAUUAAAUAAAUAAUUAAUUAAAUAGUAAUAGUAGAAUUUCUAUAAUAUUUUUAUUUGAUUGGUAUACACAUGUGAGUAAAUUAAAUAGAACAAAAAUUAAAAAUAAGAGUUAUCCCUUUGAAUAGAUACAUGUAUGUGUUUCAUCUUCCAAAUUAAUUUAUAUUUUUAAUUAAUAUUUGUCUUUAAUUUGUAAUAAUACUUGAUCUUUCAAUUUUGUAAGUGAAUCUUCAUAUUCCAAAACUAUAUUUUUUCCCUAUAAAUACAAAUCUUUCUAUGAAAAUUUUCUAAUAGUAUUUUCAUAAAAAGAUUUAUACGUGAUAUAAUUUUUGUGUGUGGAAGACUAGAGAAGCUUUAAUCAAGUGAAGAAAAUUUCAAGGCAAAGAGAAUUUCUGUCAAGAUUACAAGACGUAAUGUGAUUAUAGGGAUGAAUAACACUUCAAUUACUAGAAUAUCGGAGUUUGAUGUAUUUGUUUUUUUAAUUUGCCGAGAUUAGAACUAUGAUAAGACCCCUCCAUUUAUGUAGUUGAAUGUCACUUUCGUUAAUUUCUCUUCCAAAACUUUUAACUUUUUUUUAUGGUCAAAGGUUGACUGUUUAUUACUAUAGUUUUUUUUUCAAUUUGCAAUAUCAAUAAAAAACAGGGAAAGGAAUGUCUUAAAAAUAGGGAAAGGAAUGUCUUCAAUUUACAUUAUCAAUUUGCAUUUUUGUUGGUAGCCUUAUGCUAAACUUGCUCCCAUAUUUGAUUUUUUUUUUUUUUGUAUUUGUACUUUUAUUUUAAGAAUAUAUUUGAUUGAAUGGUGUAUUUUCGUAUAAAUUUUUUAAUACUUAGUCAUAAUGAUUUUUCAUUACAGAUUUAGUAUAUUUGAAUUCUUUUAUAUAUUUUAUUCUUAGAUUACAGUUUUGUUUACACAGUACGUUUAAAUUUUAUAAAUUGUUUAAUAAAUUAAAUAUUAAUAUUAAAUAGUAAAUAGUAAAUCAUCAUAUUAGUAUACAUAACUUACCAUCAACUUGUAAAUGUAUGUGACUCUCACUAAUUAUAUUCAUUAUGUUCAUUACUCUCAUUUCUCAUCGAUAAUCUCAAAUGGAUUAAUAUUUAUUUAUGACAACUCUUUGUAUUUCUCAAUGUUAUCCAAUAAUAAAUAGUGACAUUUCACACAAUAAUAUAUAAACUUAAACCAAUUGGAAAAAAAUGAGAAAAUCUCGAUGCUCUCUUUUCUCGUCUCUUUUUAUUUAUUUAGUUUAACAUUUAUGUUUCUUGCUUGUUGUUAUUGUACAACGUACUUUCUAUUGUUGUGUUAUUAUUAUUGAUAAUUUACUAUGGCCUGUUGCUUUGUAUACAUUAGCUUAUCAUGUUGUAUUUUAAUAUCUUCAUUGGAAUAUUGAAUUUGUGUAAUAGUUAUUAUUACUUUAUGCACUUUCAGUCAAUUUUAUAAUUAAAGGUAUAAUAUUUUUACUAGGAAGAUAUAUGUAGUUUCUACCGAAACAAUAAUAAAUUUUACGAUACAAAAUUUAUAUGAAGUAUGUUGGGAUAAAUGUGCAACGCACGUUCCUAAAUCUAGUAUUAUUAUAAGCAUGAAGCUCAAAACUUAAAAGUUGAAUUACCAUUUUGCCCCUCUAAUAAAUUAAAACUUAUAUAAUUUAUAAUAAACAUUUUGCCCUUUUACUAAAUUAAGAUUUAGUUUAUAAUUUAAUUAAAUAUAAAUAUUUUAAUUACACAAUGAUAUAUAUAUAUCUAUUUAAUUUUCAUAAGUAUUUAAAGUUAGGAAGAAAGUUUAAAUUUAUUCAGUCAAUGACUUUUAAUUAGAAAAACAAUGAUAAGAUUCUAAAGUCUUUCUAUUACUCCUAUUUAUUCAUGCAUCACUUAAUUACUGAAGUUGAAAGGUUUUUUCAGUUUUAAAUUUUGAAGGCACUACUUAACUUACAUUAAUUACAAUGAAUAUUGUAAAUGAAAAGAUCACUCUUUUGAACUUUCAUAUGUUACUUCACUCUUUUUAAUUAACUUGAAUUAUUUUCAUCUUCCACAUAUUAUUGAAAUGUAUAGAUAUUUAAGACAUAGAGAAAGAAAAUAACAACAGAAAUCAAGAACACUCAAAAGCACAAGAAUUCAUAGUCUAACCCUUUUUUCGAAAAUUUUCUUGGUCUUCUCUAUUGCAUGAAUCUAUAUGAUGGCACAGUAUGGUUCUAAUACAUUUGAAAAUGCUAUGCUAACAUUUAGAUGAACUUACAAUAAAUCUAUUGAAAGAGUAAGUCACGAUUUAGAUUACAAUUUUUUCCUUGUUCUUCCCGUUUUAGUUUUGUUAACUAUGAUUCUUCCUUCUAUAUUAAAUGAUUUUUUGUUAUAUUUAGAUAAUAUGUUGAUAUAUUAAUAGAAAAAAAAAAGUAAGGUGGACUACAAUUUUGAGAUAUGUUGUUCAUAAAAAAAAUUAUAUUUCUUUGAUUAAUAGUCACUGUAUAAAAUUAAUUUCAUUGUAUAUGUUCUUUUUGGCUAUAUAUGAUACAAUCCUAAUGCAUAAAUUUUCUUUCUGAUAUGGUGUCUUCUCUUCAAUCUUUUGGUGUUAUAUUACACUGUUUGAUAAGUUUUCAUUGUAUUUGUCUAUUUUUUUUCCCUAUGAAGGUUGUUUUUGGUUGAAGGGUAAAAAAAUAUUUAAAUAAUAAAGUAUAAAAUUAGAUUAUCAUUUUAUUCUGUGUUAAAUUAAAAUAUUAUAAAAUAUUUAUUUAUAAAUAGUAAUCAUUCUACAUGCCACACUAAAUAUUAAAAAUAUUGGUUAUUAUGAGAUCAUUGAGUUAAAUCAAUAUAUAAAGACCAUAAUCAAUGCCCAGAUGCCCACUAAAGAUUUGCAUUGUUAUAUGAUUAAAGUCUUCAAAAGAAUGUGUAUGUUGUCGCAUGUUUUUUUCUUUGUUUAUUUUGUAUGUGUUUUCUCUCUAUGAACUUCUUUAAUUUGAUUUUCCAUAAAUUUCUUAUUGUUUUAAUUGUAUUUUUAAUUAGGCUAAAGUUAAUCUUUUGUGACUAUAUAUAAUGCAAAUUGGCUAAUUACUAUCUAAAGUUCUAAAUUUACAGUUGUUGAUAAAUUUUAUGCAUUAAAAUAAGAUUCCUCGUUUGAUGUUAUUGUGAUUAAACUUCUUUAAUUUGAUUUUCCAUAAAUUUUUGAUUGUUUUAAUUGUAUUUUUAUUUAGGCUAAAGUUAAUCUUUUGUUACUAUCUAAAGUUCUAAAUUUACAGUUUGUUGAUAAAUUUUAUACAUUAAAAUAAGAAUCCUCACCUGAUUUUUUUGUCAUAAUUUUAUAAUUUUAUUUGUAAUUGUUGGAUUUUGUUAUUCGUUACAUGCAUGUACAUGUAGAAUUCUAAUUGUUAUAAUGAAAAAUAAAAAAAAAAUUAACAUAGGAUACACGUGCAACGUACGUGUGCUGAAACUAGUUACAAAUAAGCCUUUGAAUCAAACUGCUACAACUGCGACCUUUUCUCCCUAUUUAUAAUAGAUCUAAUCUUUCCACGAUAUCCUUCUUAAUCUGUAACACAACUGUUCCAGUUUGAACAUUCAUGUGCUUGAAUGUAGUCCAGUUCCUAGCCUUCCAAGUAAAUAAUCUUGUUUGUUAUCUUUUACAAGUACAUUGGUUUCUUCAUAAACAAACAUAAAUAAGUUGGGAUCUUCCUCCAUAAAUAGCAUCCCAUCUCUAUAUCCCUAACACAACUAUUAGUACUUCUUUAGUAGCAUUAAGCUCUCAAAUUUCUUCAAGAAAACAUACAAAAAUGGCCAUCAGAAAAUCAAGCAACUUAAUCACAAACUGCAGUUUUCAAGCAAAUUAUGAAUAGGUAUUCAAAUUUGGGUAUGCUGAGAUUUAUAUUUGCUAAUGAGUCCAACCAACGACCCGACCCCUAAGAGAAACAAUCAUUUAAAGUAAAUAAAUUAUUAGGAAAAUUCAUGAGAAACCAAAAAUGGAUGAUAAUGCAAAGGACAAAAUAGACCUGAUCAGUUAUAUCAAGUACUGUGCUUGCCACAAUCGGAAUAAACUUAUUGUCAACCUGUUGGAGAACUUUGGCACCCUCCGGGAAGUUUUUAUUAAUGGUAUCAGGAACCAAUGAAUCGCCAAAAAAAUGCAAGACGCCAGAAGUGACACUCAGUACAAUAUACUGAUUAUUAAAAUUCUCAGUUCCAGCACUGUUCUGCAUCUCAACAGGAAAAGGUAAAGUUCAUCAUCUUAACAAAAUAGAGAAGAAGCAAAAACAUCCAAGAUAUAGCUAAGGUACUCAACUGUAAUCUUUGGAAGUCCCUCCAUUUUAUCCCAAAAAUCUAAGGAACUUUGAAUUUUUGUUGGUGCAAAUUCUGAAAAAUUGACUAAAGAAAAGGUCAGCCAUGACAAUAUUAUUACAAGAUCAGAACACAAGCAAGAUGGAAUUUGAAAGAGACUAUGUGGCAUAGGAGUCUUAGAAAGAGACAUUGUAAUCUCUAAUGCUUCCACGAUUAAUAAGAAUGCAGCCUAAGAUAAUCUUGAAAAGUGGGUGAAAGAAAUGAAGCUAAUUAACUGAAACAUGCACUAGGAAAAUUCAGCUCUUAUUCAGAUCACGAACAAGUGGCAGGAAUGGUUUACCUUCUUUUAACUCCCCAUCGCGUGUACAUGUGCACUCCCCUUGAGCUUGCAAUUUGCUAUUCCAGAUGUUAAUAAGUUCCCUUUUCACACUUGGCCUGAACAGAGAAACAUCAGGUCGUGUUCAUUACUGGCAUAUUUAAUUAAGAUAUAUCAGAAAGAGACCUAACAACCCUCCCAAGAAAUUGGAUAACGCUACCUUUCAUCAGAGAAGAAACCGUCACCACAACUUGGGGUGGAAGAUUGAUCACAUUGAUGGGAUGACUGCUGUGGAAGCUCUCAGCAGAUAGCUUCUGCAGAAUGAUGCAGUCUACUAACUGCUAUAGUUUCAGCACGAAUGAAAAGAACAUUAAUUAGUUGCACCUGUUCACUGUCAUCAAUGAUUAAUAACACAAACAAGCACUCAAGAACAAAUUACCAGGCAUGAGUGGCACAUCAUGAACAGUCUUAAUACUGUGAUUUCCUGCUGCCUUUCUUGUAGACUCACUCGUGGCAAAGAACUUAAUUCUUACCUUGGUAAAAUGGAGGAACUGAAUGAAUUCUUCUACCCUCCUUCUUCCUUAUAAGCUCAUCCGUUUUACCUCGAUUUCCAGCAUCGAUCCAUUUAUGUGAGUCCCUACCCACCCUAGAGAAGAGCAUAGGUCAUGGUAUCAACUAAUUCUUAAGAUUCUCUUCACAUCUCUUAUCCAUCAAUUUGGGCCUGCAUACCUUCACCGUGUAUACAUCGUGAUAGCUUGAAUGAACUAUCACUUGCAUUCAAUUUUUAAGGGAACUCAGAUGAAUCCCUAACCCACUGAACAAUAGUGGCAACAGAGAACGAGAAGCACGUAGACAAAACAGGUCAUCCUCACUGCAUGCAAAUAAAAAAAAAUCUAAGAAACCAUACAGGAAAUAUCCUCAAGUUAACUGGUUUAUCAAAUAUGGACCUUUCGAUAACAACAAUUUUGAAGAAGACACUGGGAUGCACAAGGGUGAUUCUCAGAAGAGACUCUUUGAGAGAAUGCAAGACCCUCUUUGUGCCUCGGACAGAGUACAGCUUAAGAAAUUAUGUAGAUCAUAUGUUUUACUUGUUUGAGUUUGAGGAAAACAAGAAGUACCUGGAGAGCAUUUGUUUCCUUAAAACUGAUUGGUUGUAAAAGCACUGGAAAUAGUUCCCGUGAAACUCCUCUUGCAUAUUAGCACUAGAUUAGGCAUAGGCAUUGCCAAAGAAGAAAAUAACCAUUAAAGUGGAAGAUUCACAUGACAUUGUAAACUCUUGAGCAUAAUAAACCACUAAAGCAAAAGAAUAUCAAUUACAUUGUUGAAUGUCAAUCAAGAAACAUCAAGAAGUCAAAUUCUAUAACAUAAAUCCCUAAAGAACACUUGAGACAAUUAAAAUACUAUAGGCAUCUUAAGAAAAUCUUGAAAUAGCAGUACGAAAAUCCAUCAAAAAAAGAAGAGAGGAAGCUUACUUUAAGAUGAGGGCAACACACACACACACUGAUCAUCAAAAAUAAAUAAUACCAUCCAAUCUUAUAGCAACAGGCAUUCAACUCAUAAUAUUUUUCAAUUUUUAUUUAUCCUUUCUAGAUUGCAACUUGAUAACGUAUCUAAAGUUAAUAAAAUAUACAUUAAUAAAAGGAAAAAUGUACACAAAUCUAAACUAAUCCAGUCAAAAAUUGUAUCACUAACCUGAUAUUUUUCGAACAUAUAAAGUUUUUACUUAAAUAAUAACAGCGGAACUUGAAAAAUAUAUAUUUAAACUAUUACGAUAACAUACUUAGUAUAGUCUCAUAAGUGGAAUCUAGAAAAGAUCUCAUGAUCAAUAUUAGUUUCAUAAAUCAAAUCUACAAUGGUUGGAUAUACGCAGAUCUUAUCCCAAAAAAAUUCAAUAUUAGUGAUUUAAAUACGCAAUCGAAUGGCAUUGGCAUAUUUGUGAAACUUGACAAUGACAUUGAGUAUAGUAAACUGGAGUCAACAAUGACAAAGAAAAUAACUAGAGCAAAAUAUACAAGCAUGUAGUGAAUAUAAGAUGGUUACUAAAAAUGUUAGGCACAUGACAAAGCAAUUGGAGAAUAUUAAUGCACUAUGCGUGUAUAUGUAGCUUUGUAUAGGCUACAUAUUGAAUAAUUUUGAAAUUGUGGAUAUGAUUAUAGGCUAAGUUGACAUUUGUAAAGGACAAUUUGCACAAAAUAUAGUGUCAAAACAUUAUAAGUUAGAACAUACUGAAAUUUAAUAUUUUUCUAAGUACAUGGACUAAAAAAUUACAAGGACUAAGGAAUCUUUGUAUUGUAACUCUAAUAAAACGGAUUAAACAUAAUCGGUAGAAUCUGUAAAGAGUCUGUAAAGAGGGCGAUGAUAUCAAAGCAAAACUCACCCUACCAUUACAAGAUAGAAUCUGUAGUUCACCGUACAAAUCCUGUGCCUUCAAAUAGAACCUCUAAUAAGAAUGAAAACAGAACUGCAUGAAGAAUGAUCCUGGAAGUCAAUAUGGAUUGGAUCGGGUAUCCAGAGGAAGACUUUGGAACUUGAAUAAAAACUCAACUUGGAAUUUAAAAUUCUGGGUUUACAAAAAGCCUUCCUUUAAGAACAAGGAAUCCCAACUAGCUUUGCACAUUUGAUAAUAAUACUUUAUAUACAAGAACUCACAAAAAAAAAUAAAAAUGAAAGAAAUAGACCGCUGAGAUCACAAGCUCAAGGCUCUUGCGGGAGCCUCGUCUAAUUCUUCUUUUGUUACUUCCUUCUUUUCCUGAAAUAAAUAGCCAACUUACUCAAGAAAUUUACACUUUGCAAUCCUUCUAGAGAGCAUGGAAAAUCUAGAGCAAAUAGUUCUUUGAUUCACACAUUUCUUGGCCAAGAUUUGGUAUGUUCAUACAAAUACAACUGACGAUCAUAAUAACGUUCCUGAUAGGAAACAAAAUACUUAUAUACAAAAAGAAAGAUCAUAUGUGUGAUGGAGGAGAUAGAUGACACAGUAAUGAUUUAGGUAAUUACACAUCUCAUUAUUUUGGUCCAGAAAAAAAUCAUAUUUAAUUUUCAAGUGUCUUUAGAUCUUCUAUUUUGAUUAUAGACAAAACAUAUAAUAUCAGCGCAAAUCAUUCACCUCUCAAAUGCACACUCAAUUGUUGAAGCAUCAAGGUGAAAGAGAAAUUUGAUUAUAAUGGGCAAAACAAGCUUCUUAACAGUUUACACUUCUAUAAUGAUACAACAUGAGUUUCUGGAGGUUCAAAUACCAGAGUUGGGUACUGGUGUGGGUAAUAUAAUGAUCAAUACUCACACAAUUCUCUCUCAUUGAAGUGAAGAGAGAAACAAGUUUUCCUUUGGAUGAUAAAAAAAGAGAGAGCAAACUGUUCGUAUCACUAAGUCGUCAAACAUAACCUAAAGGUGACUACACAUCGAAGGCAAAUUAUAAUAAAACUAGCCAAAUGGAACAUCUAAACAGCUUGAAUAAUAUUAGAUUAUUAAGGUCAAUCCUAGACAAGGAUUUCUAUAAUUGAUAGGGACUACUUCUGCAGAUACUCAGAUAUAUACUAUGACGGGUUGAUGGCAAGUUGUCUAAAAUGCUUAUCUAUGAAAAGAGACAGACCAUUGUCAUUGUUGACCCGUAAGAGGGGAAAUAUUCUCCAGCCCACUGCUACCACAAAGAACCUUUGCUCCACAUCCAACUGUAUCAGCUGUUCUAACUUCCGACAGCCUCUUCAUCAAACAAGAUCUAUAAAAUAAAAAAACCUACAACCAUUUUAGUAGGGUCAAUAAGAAGCUCCUAGUCCAAAUACAGGAAUAGCAAGAGUAUAAGAAACAACAAAUCAGAAAAAGUCGAAACAUUUCACAGCCAAUUCAUAAAUAUAACCGGCUGCAUCAUCAAGCUGCAGCAAUACUGAGCUGGAUAAUUCCCUUCAAGUUUCAAUAUCAAGUUAAAACCCCUCUUUGUUUAACUCAUUUAGCAAAUAAGAAGAUGCCAUGAAUCUGUAGUUGUUCCCUCUUUGUUUAACUUAUUUACCAAAUAAGAAGAUGCCAUGUAUCUGUAGUCCUUGUCCUUGCCUGUCAUCAGCAAAAUGGAGUCAAGUCAAGUCAAAUUGCACAAAUGGAUGGCGCAACAGAGGAGAGAUGGCUUGCAGCAUCAAAUAAUAAUUAAGAUUUUCUUCACUAUGAAAAGUAUACGUGACAAAUCAUCACCAUUAUAAUAGAAUCCAGAAGGACCUGAACUACUAAGUUCACCCGAUCAAGUCCCCCACACUAUAAAUAUCCUCCUUAGAACAAGCAUUAAAAUUGGGAUCAAAUUUUGCCGGAUUUGGGAACAAGCAGUCCUCUUUUCAAUAUUAUAUAUGGCAGGAAUUCCAAAAUCAUAUGUGAGAACAACUUCAUGUUUAACAGAAGUUUCUAUACCAUUUUCAGGCUUUAGCAAUGUUAAGGAUUAACAUCUUGAAACUUUGUCCCGAGCAAAGUAUCUGGUGAAAGAGGAGAUGGUUCUGGACCACAAAACGGCAGUCCAGAACCAUAAUUUUCAGUCUGUUUAAAGAGGUCCAUAAGAUGAUCGUCUUCAUCUAACAUGACCUUGGUUAAUGAAGAUUUUUCUGAAUCUCCUGAAAAAUUUUGACCUCAUUAGUCAUACUACGCCCAAAAUACACUCAAACAUUAGACUAAAGGCCAAAUACAAAGAAUCUGUAUAAUCAAAAAAACAAUCAUUUUCUUUGGAAAUAAAUGCAAAAGAAUCUGGUUAGCUACUGAAGUAUGUCCUUAAACAUGAAUGAUGUGAUAAAUAGUUUUCCAAAUUAAGUUAAAAGCUAUUUGAGUUUCAAGUCCUCAUAAUUCGAGAAGAGAGAACCUCUACCAUUAACUUGCUACUGAUGGUAUUAGAACAAGAAAAAUUCAUUCCUAAGAAGUAACAAUUCAUAAUUCACUUGCUAUAAUCAACCUAAUUAAAACAUACAAUGAACCUUAAGAGACAAUGCACACAAACGAAACUUGAAAUCCUUAGACCCUCAAAAAUCCUUCUUGCUGUCAACAAGAUGGAGCACAGAACUGACAAAAACUGUGCUAUUGAUACCUCAGAAUGAACUAACAACCCUGAGAAAAAGUGCUUGUCAUGCUUUGUUUUCCAUAUCUAGGCAGGCAUAUAAUCCUUCAGAGGAAGGAAUAUGAAUGUUGAAGAGAAUAAGAUAUAAGUAUUGUAAAAGGUCUGAGAAUGUAGGUGAGCAACCAAUCCUGUAUUAACAACUACAGUACCUUUCUCUUUCAAAGACUGAUUUGCAAAUGGUUCGCAUGUACUUGCACUUUUUGAAUGUAUCCCUAAAAGAAUCAAUCGUUAAAAAAAUGCAUUUAUAAGGAAUUCACAAGAACCAAAAAUGGCCAUCAUGGACUAUGCAGAGACCAGAACAGACCUGAUUAAUUAUAGGAAGUGUGGUGCCCGCCACAAUUGAAAUAAACUUCUUAUCAACCUGUUGGAGAACUUUGGCAGUUUUUAUCAAUGGUAUCAGGAACCAAUGAAUCACCAACAAAAUGCAAGACGCCAGAAGUGACAUUGAGCACAGUAUCUCAUACUGAAAAGGGCAAAAAAGUCCAGUUCUUAAGAUUCCUGUUCAAGUUCUGCUCUGCAUCACAUACUGAAAAGGGUAAAAGUCCAUCAUCUUAGAAGGAGAGAGAAGAAGUUGCAAAAACAUCUGAGAUAUAGCUAAGGUAACUCAACUGUAAUCUCUGGACGGAAGUCUCUCCAUUCUGUCCCACAAUUAAGAAACUUCGAGCUUUUGUGGUUCAAAUUCUGAAAUUUUGAAUAAAAAAUGUCAGUCAUGACUCAUGUCAAUUCUAUAAUAAGAUCAGUACAUAAGCAAGAUGGUUGAAAGAGACUAUGGGUCCUAGGGAACUUAAAAAGACACAUGGUGAUCUCUAAUGCUUUUAUGAUUGAAUGCAGUCUGGGAUAAUCUUGAAAAAAUGGGUGAAAGAAAUGACACUAAUUAACUGCAACAUGCACUAGAAAAAUUUAGCUCUUAUUCAGGUCAGGAACAAAUGGCAGGAAUUACCUUCUUUCGACUCCCCAUCGUGUGAAGUUGUGCACUCCCCUCAAGCUUGUACUUUAUUAUUCCAAAUGCUAACUAGUUUCAUUAGAAACACCAGGUCGUGUGGGUUACUAAAAUAUCUGAUUGAGAUAAUAUCAGAAAGAGAACUAACCCUUCCAAGAACGUUGAUAACAUGACCUUUCAUCAGAGAAUACACCGUCACCACAACUUGGGGUGGAGGAUUUACCAAAUUGAUGGAAUGACUGCUGUGGAAACUCCAAGCAGAUAGCUUCUGCAAAAUGAUGCAGUCUCCUUACAGCUCUAGUUUCUGCACGAUGGAAACGAACAUUAAUUAGUUGCCCACAUUUCCUGUCAUCAUUGAUCAUUAAUACAAACAAGCACUCAAGGACAAAUUACCUGGCAUGAGUGGCACAUAACGAACAGUCUUGAUACUUUUAUUUGCUGCUGCUGUUCUUGAAGACUAGCUUGUGGCAAAGAAUUUCUUGCCCGAGGAGCUGAAAUGACUUCUUCUACUCUUCUCCAUCAUUAUAAUCUCAUCUGUUUUACCUUGAUUUCCAGCAUGAAUCCAUUUAUGCGAGUCCCCAUCCCAUCCUAGAGGAGAGCAUAGCUUGUGGUAUCAAAAUAAUAAUUAAGAUUUUCUUCACUAUGAGAAUGUAUAUGUGACAAAUCAUCACCAUUAUAAUAGAAUUCAGAAGGAUCUGAACUAUUAACGUCACCCGAUCAAGUCCCCUACACUGUACAUAUCAUCUGUAGAACUAGCACUAAAAUUGAGAUCAAACUUCGCAAGUUUUAGGAACAAGCAGUCCUCUUUUCCAUAUUAUUUAUGGCAGGAAUUCCAAAAUUAUACGUGAUAACAACUUCAUAUUUAACAGAAGUUUCUAUACCAUUUUCAACAAUGUUUAGGAUUAACACCUUAAACUUGGUCCCGAUCUGAGCAAAGCAUCUGGUGACGGAGGAGAUGGUUCUGGACUACAAAACGGCAGGCCAGAUUCAUAUUUUUCCGUCUGUUUAAAAAGGUCCAUAAGAUGACCGUCUUCAACUAAAAUGACCUUGAUUAAUGAAGAUUUUAUCUCCUAACAAAGUUUGACCACAUUAGUUAGACUAACGCCCGCCCGAAAUACACAGAACCUGUAUUAUCAAGAAAACAACCAUUUUCUUGUGAAACACAUGCAAAAGAAUCUUGUUAGAUACUGGAGUAUUUCCUUAAACAUGAAUGAUGUUAUAAAUAGUUUUCCAAAUUCUGUUGGAAGCUAUUUGAGUUUCAAGUACUCAUAAUUCAAAAAAGAGAGAACCUCUACCAUUGACUUGUAUGGUAUUAGAACAAAAAAAGCUCCUCCCUUGGAAGUCACAAUUCAUAAUUCACUUGCUAUAAAUCAACCCAAUUUAAAACAUAAAAUGGCCCUUAGGAGACGAUGCACACAACGAAACUUGAAAGCCUUAAACCAUCAAAAAUCCUUCUUGCUGUCAACAAGAUGGAGCACAGAACUGAUAAAACCUGUGCUAUUGAUACCUCAGAAUGGACUAACUACCCUGAGAAAAAGUGCUGUCAUGUUUUGUCUUCCACAUUUAGACAGGCAUAUAUCCUUCAGUGGAACAUGAAUGUAGAAGGAAUAAGAUAUAAAGUAUUGUAAAAGGUCUGAGAAUGUAGGUGAACAACUAAUCCUAUAUUAACAACUACAAUACCUUUCUCUUUUAAAGACUGAUAUGCAAAUGGUUUACAUUUACUUAGAGAAUGUUACCGAAAGAAGAGUAACAGAUGUUGGCUGCUUGUGACUCAGAUUUAAGGUAACUGCUUUAACCAAAACAUACAACUUCAUGCUCAGAGUUAGGUUUAAAUUUGAUGAAUGUUGCAAAAUUCAGUGCAAUGGAAUUUCUGGUAAAUGACAAUUUUAUCAUGUUCCAUAGACACCCACAUAAGUCAUGAGGAUAUUAAUAAUGAACAAUUAAAUACCGCCAACCAAAUGAUGAAUUAGUUUUGUUGCGCUUAUUUUUUCUUAUGUGGCUAACUGACAGCUACAUAUUUAUGCAGAUGUUACUUUUUCUUACGCGGCCAAAUAAUGUUAUAUUAUUUAUGCAGAAGUCUAUGCUGAGAUUUAUAUUUGCUAAUGAGUCCAACCAAACAAUCCCUAAGAGGAACAAUUGCUUAAAGUAAGUGCAUUUUAAAGAAAUUUAUGAAAAACCAAGACUGAUCAUAUGGACUAUGCAAAGGCCAUAUAGACAUUAUCAGUCAUAAGUGUUGUGUUCCCACAAUCAGAAUAAACUUCUUAUCAACCUGUUGGGGGAACUUUGGCACCCUCCAGACAGUUUUUAUCAAUUGUAUCAGUAACCAAUGAAUCGCCAACAAAAUGCAAGACACCAGAAGUGACAUUGAGUAUAGUAUCCAGAUUCUUAGGAUUCUCUGUUCCAGAACCACUCUGCAUCUCAUACUCGAGGAGCGGCCCGUUGGUUCACCAAAGCCCGACCCAGUGUCGGACAUUCUCCAAAAGGUAAAGGUUCUAUCAUCUUGUCCAUAUAGUCAAGGUACUCAACUGUAGUCUUUGGACGGAAGUCCCUCCAUUUUGUCCCAGAAUCUAAGGAACUUUGAAUAAACAUAAGCAAGAUAUAAUUUGAAAGAGACUCUGUGGCCUAAGAGACUUAGAAAGAGACAUAAUCUGAAAUGCUUUAAUGAUUAAUAAGAAUGCAAUCUAAGAUAAUUUUGGAAAGUGGAUGAAAGAAAUGAAGCUCAUUAACUAAAACAUGCACAAGAAAAUUCAGCUCUUAUCAACAGUUUACCUUCUUUUAACUCCCCAUCGCGUGUACUUGUGCAAUCCACUUGAAUUUGUAAUAUUCUAUUCCAGAUGUUAACAAAUUUCAAUUUAACACUUGGCCUGAAGAGAAAAAUAUCAGGUCGUGUGAGUUACUAAAAUAUUUGAUUGAGAUAAUAUCAGAAAGAGACCCCACCCUCUCAAGAAAUUUGAUAGCAUUACCUUUCAUUAGAGAACACACCCUUACCACAUUUCGGGUGGAAGAUUGAGCACAUUGAUGGAAUGAGUGAGUGGAAGCUCCCAGCAGAUAGCUUCUGUAGAAUGAUGUAGUCCCCUUGCAGCUCUAGAUUCUGCACGAUGGAAAAGAACAUUAAUUAGUUGCUCAUAUUUUCUGUCAUAGUUGAUUAUUAACACAAAAAACGCACUCGAGGAGAAAUUACCUGGCAUAUAAGCACAUCAUGAACAAUUUAAAUAUUGUUAUUUCCUGCUGCCGUUCUUGAAGACUCACUUGUGGCAAAGAACUUCUUCUUGUCUUGGUAAAAUGGAGGAGCUGAAUGGCUUCUUCUACUCUUUCUUCUUCCUUAUAAGCUCAUCUAUUUUACCUCGAUUUCCAGCAUCAAUCCAUUUGUGCGAGUCCCCAUCCACCCUAGAAGAGAGCAUAGCUCGUGGUGGCAAAUAAUUUUAAGAUUCUCUUCAUCAUGAGAAAGCAUAUGUGUCAAAUCAUAUCUAUCAUAAUAGAAUUCAGAAGGACCUGAACUAUAAACAUCCCACGGAUCCAGUCCCCUAUACCGGCCAUGCCAGUUUGCCCAAUUACAAGUAAAACUGCAAAACAAAAAAAUUGAAGAACACCCGUAAAAAGAUACUAACAAACACAAACCGUCAAACAACCUAUCAGUUGAGGAACGCAUGCAGCCGUAUAGACUACGACAACCAUUCCAAGUUACGAACAUAAUCGUUGUCAGUCCAAUAUUUUGCAAAAUGAUUACCAUAUCAUUCUCUCCUCAGCAUCUGUCCAUCUCGUGAGACACCAGAUCCUUCAAAAGAAAGUACCAACUUCAGGUGAUGAAGCAAAAUAAUAAAUUGAGCAGAAUUUUAUACAUAUCUAAAUGCAUUUAGAUCAACGUCAAAGAAACUAAUAGAUACCAUUGUCAUCCACCUUAACAAUUCAGGUCCCAAUGUCAACAGCAACAGAUACCUGGUUGAAAAUGGAAACUGGGUUAAAGUUCAACUUAGGAGUACACAAAUUAUAAGAACAACGAACAUAAAAAGAGCAGUCCUACAAGGGGAGUAAAUCUCAUGGAGAAAACAAAGUGCUGUUAUAAGAAUAUUCAUUUGUUAAAAAAAAAUGCUUUGAUACUAGAAUCGAGCAUCAUACUAAGAGGAGAAGAAGAAUAUCAAUUUUCAUAUAAAGCAUAUCCCCUUGUAAUCAGAGGUAGCAAAAAUAGAAACAUACGAAUCCAUUGAAGAGCCUCACUGACAUUAACAAAAUCAGAAAACAUAAAAAACAUAAAACACGCCCACUCUCUUACAUGACACAAUUUACAACUUAUAAGAAACAAUUAAAAUCAGAAAGUCUAGAGCAUGUUUAUUUCAAAGAUGAAAAUAAGUCUAGACCAUGUAAAAGAAAAUGACCACUGAGGGUGUUCUGUCCAAUCGAGUGUCUUCAUUCAAAAUACUACAAAUCAUUUCUUAUAAUUAAACUACUUAUUUUUUAAGAAUUGUAACAGUGGAGCCUUCAACAAGAAAAACUCCACAUUUUCCCAUUCAAUGGCUUCAUAAUUCAGUUAUAAUUAAACCAAAAACAACAACAAGAGUAUCUAUCAUGAUUUAUGAUUUCAUGAUUCAAUUAUAUAAAAAGGUUCACCUCUAUGUGACUAUCACUUUUAUCUUUGACAAUGAAAGGAAGGCCAGCAUCUUCAAAUUGCUGCACCAUAUCAGGAUCCACCUACGUAGCACAGGAUAAGUUUUUAGCAUACGUCCCUUACUAAAGAAAAUCACAUCCUAUGGUCUACAUAUAAUUAUUAAACCAGUCCACCUAGAUGUGCAAUAGUUACACCACAGUUCCAAAUUUAAAGGAAAAAAAGUGUUGAACCUCAUAUAUAUGAUGGUGCCUCUCAUCUGCAAAGCUCCAAUUGCCAAAUCUGAGAAAAGAUAUAAUUAAGCCAGUUGGUAAUAUCAAUGGGAAAAAUCCUCCAGAAUGGCUUCACAAACUUAUCAACAAGCAUGCCCAAUGUAUGCAAAAGCAGUCUAUUAAGAAUUUCAAGAAACCAGAGAGAAAAGGCAAAGAACCAUAUCAUUUUAAAAAAUACUUGGUCAGAAAUCAAAAAGUCAAUAAACAAAAGUGUAGAAAGACGACUUAUCACAUCUCUUUAUCCAUCAAUUUGGGGCUCAGUGUAAACAUCGAAACCUUACAGUUAUCCUGAAAGUUAGAAUGCACCAACACUUACAUUCAAUUUGUUAAGGAAACUCAGAUGAAUUCCAAAUCCACUAGACAACAGCGGCAAGGAGAAGGAGAAGCACAUGUGCAAAGCAGGUCAUCCUCACUGCAUGCAAAUGAACAAAAUCUAAGGAACUAGAGAGGAAAUCCUUAAGUUAGAUGGCGUAUUGAAAACGAACCUUUCAAUAUCAACAAUUUUGAAGGAGACACUGCGAUGCGCAAGGGAGAUUCUUAGCAGAGACUCUAUCAGAGAAUGCAAGACCCUACUUGGACUUCAAGAUUAUACAUGCAGACCAAAAGAUCAAUCAGAUCAGAAUACAGUUUAGAAGUAAAGUAUGUAAAGCAAUAUCUUUUACUUGUUUGAUUUUGAGAAAACUAGAAGAACUUGGAAUGCAUUUGCUUCCUUUGAACUUCUAAGUUGUAAAAUACAUCACGAACAAUUACUGCAAAAAAAGAAACCCUAGAAAUCUCCUUUAAUAGCAGGCAGCAGUUAACUCAAUUAUCAAGUAGGCUUAUACAAAAUCACCUACUAUACCAACAUCUUGUCUAUAAUCACCAAUUCCAAGGUACAAAACACUUGCCAUCCGGUUAACAAUGGCCAGAUAAGACUUCAAGGACCAGGUUAGUAGUUCUAUACCUAUCCUAGUGUCAACUACUUACUAUAACUCAAAAGAAUUUUACCUUCAAAACCUUACAAUAUCUAUUAGGCCUCCCAUGAGAUUUGGUAACAAUUCCAGAAAAGAAAUAUCAGAAAUAGAGCUCAGAACCAACUAGUCACCACAAGAUAUUCUUGAGAAACACAUCAAAAUAGCUUCAUCAGAUUAACACAAUCAGUAUCAGUGGUGCCAACAAUGAGAGUUAAAUACUGCACAUAACUAUGCUGAAUUGAUUGCAUAUCUACCAUGGAACAAAAACGAACAAGUGACAUGUUUUUCUUUUUUUGUGGCUAUUAGUCAAACCAAUCCUAGUGUCAACUACUUACUAUAACUCAAAAGAAUUUUACCUUUAAAACCUUACAAUAUCUAUUAGGCCUCCGAUGAGAUUUGGUAACAAUUCCAGCAAAGAAAUAUGUAGAUAUGGUACAACAAAUUAGGGGCAGAAUUUGACCAGCCCUUUUAACAUAUAGCAUGUCGUUGAAGUCAAUAGGUUCCUAUCCAGUUCAUAGCAGAAUGUCUACAGAAUCAAACAAUGUAAUCAGUUGAAACAAAAUCCAGUAAUCCUAAAAAGUGCAACAGUUCUCAAGUUUGAUCUAGUCCAUGGUCUGCAGUCAAAAACUAACAGAAACCAGAUGCAGUCCUCUGGUUACUUGUGCUCCCACUUCAUCCACUUAUCAAAGAAAUAUAAGAAUUUUGUCACUUCCUCAGAGCCUAUUUUAGCUUUUCCCUAAUACCCUCGUUCUAAUUAAUGGUAUUUCGUAAAACUUUUGAAACAUUAGCGUAGGUGUUAAAUGUCAAAUGAAUUUUGUUACACCAAAAGAAUAGAAAAGAUACUAACUCAGUAACUCCAACAUGAAGGAGUUAAGUUGAUUCAACCUUCUGACAGAAAGGAUACAUAAAGAAGUACUAAAAUCAAAGUUAGGCUACAAUUUUCCGUUUUUUAGAAAUAAUCAAAAGUCAAAAAGUCCAGACCAUGUAAAGGAAAGGGGCGGUGAGGGGGUUUUAAGUCUACAAUUGAGUGUCUUCAUUCAAAAUACUACAAAUCACUAACUUACUUAUAAUUAAACUACUUUUUCUUUUAUUAAGUUGCGCAGUGGGGAGCCUUCAAGAACAACUUCACGUCUUUUUUCAAUUCCAAUUUUCCAAGAGGAAGCAGGGGACAUUAGGGCAAAACAAGUUCUUGAACAUCCUUAACAUGCAUUGACAGGAUGACAACAUAUCUUGCUUUUAAAAAAAGAUUCUUGAAUUUUCUUGAAAAAGCCAACAAAUUCUUAAAAUUUUCUUGAAUUCCAACAUGCAAAAUCGAGUUCUUUGGAAGAAUAUCAAGAUAAUGAGUAGAGUACCAAUGGAUAGAUAGAUCAAUUGAUUUAGGGUUAGGGUUUUGAUCGGACAUCGUCACUUGAACCAUCAAGAACACCAACAAGUUCAAUGAACUUUUCUAAAAAAUUAAACGCAAAAUAGAGUUGUUGAAUUCGAAUAUGCCGAAUGCCAAUGAAUCAUGAUAGAUUUGCCGAUAGCCGCCGGUAGCGUAAAAGUUCCGGCGGUCGAAGUAUUGAGUUCUAAAAUGGACACUAGGUUCUCUGUUUUAUAGUUUUAGAACCAGAUAAUACACGCGGCAGAAAAAUAGAACGCGGAAAAAUAACUACUUAAUAAAAAAUAUAUUACUUUUUUGUAAACUAUUUUAUUCUAGUAAUUAUUUUUUAUAUUAUUUGUAAUAGGAAGAAUUAUUCAUUGAAUGUGAAAUUUGUUCUCUCCCUUUCGUAUUAAGUUAAUAUUUUUAUUUUUUAAUUAAAUUCCCUUUGAUAUUAAGUUAAUAUUUUUAUUUUUUAAAUUUAUUUAAUUUUUAAGACUAUUUAAGAUAGUUAUUUCAAUUUUAUCCUUCAAUAAUUAAUAUUGAAAUUAGUGAUUAAUUAUUAUUUAGUUAUUUUAAUUAUAAAUUUGACAAUAAUUAAUGCCGUUUACUUCUCCUUUUUCUUAAGAAGAGAAAUUUAAGCUUCUUUCUAAUCGAAAAAAAAAACAAUUUUACUUUCAUUUAAAAGCAAUUUUAAAAAUUUGUCAAAUAUUUAAUUUUUCAAACAAAAAUAUUUUUUUCUAUAAAAAAAAAAACAUGUUGAGUAUCCCAACAACAAUGUCAAACACUAAGAGGCUCUUAGCCCAACCCAAUUUUUUGUUGUUUUCAUUUUUCUGCAAAUAAACUUCAAAAAUAAAUAAAAAUCUUGUCCAAUCAAAGUGUGUAGUAAUUUGUUUAUUGCCCUAAGUUUUUAAAUAAUCAAAAAGAUAUUAAUAAUGUUACUUCAAAUUUUUUAAAGUUCGAAAAAAGGAAGUUAAAAAAAAUGAUACACAUACCAAAUAUUAGCCUAAGUCAAAGUAGAAUCCACAAUGUUGAGUGUGUGAAACACGGCCAAAGAUAAUCUGUAAUACUUUGCAAAUGAACUAAAACAUUCAUAUUUUUAUAUAUUUCUGCAGCAGUAUAAUGUUAUGUUUUUUUUGUUGUAUUGAGGUCUUGAGGAUAACGUAGACUUUAGCUCUUGAGAAGCUCCAAUUCCCCUGUUAUAAAUAAAUGAAAUCAUGCAAAGAAAUUUCUGAAUUCUCAAAAAUCAGUUGGCGGUCUGAACAGCUAAAAAAGUGUGGUGUAUGUCUUUUUGAUAUCAGCUACUGAAAAAUUACAUUCAACAUUUGGGAGUAGGACAAAUAGCCCCCCUCUAUCUAAGUUUCAGUAAUGUGUAUUCAACUAUACAAACUACAAAGUUUAGUUAGUUCUUUACAAAAUUGUGUUAAGGAAAAGCAUCAGAAGCUACUCAAGCGAGAAGUAAGAUUAAUGAACACAUCCUCACUACACGGAAUUGUUACACCGCCCAUUGGAUGAUCAAAGUCAAAACUCUUCCUCGGCUUGACUAAGCAAGUCUUGGAAUAAAGGUUGUCUCAAGAAUGAAAUGGGGAUCAUAAAUCUCUUCUUUUGCUUCUCCCCAACAUAAACAGCAAAAUGGCCCUUUGGAACGUCUCCAAAUGUACAAGUCUUCUUGAUUAUACGGAUUUCCAUGGUUGUUUAGUUCAAUAUAGAUGAAGAAAUAAGGAUUGGAAGAAUUAGUAAGGAAAUCUGAAAGCAGAGAAAGGUUUGUAUCAUUUCAAGUUUUAGUGAGAGCUGUUAUGUGUUUAUAUAGGCUAAUCUCAAGUUGUAGAAUUCUACAGAUGUGCAUUGAAUAGACAUUAUGUGGGCACCAGCUAAAGACAGUAGCACCUGAAGUAUCACAUGGUAUUGCCUUCCAACUCAUUGCCAUAAUACUAUUAAUGCAAACUCUCAUGUGUCCACUUAUAUCAAAACUAUAACAAAAAACAAAAUCAAUCAUAUAGAAGAUUCAACUGGUAGAGAGGCAUUUUUUGUACUGUUGAUUGACUAUAGCACAUGGUUUUGCUACUCAACUCAUUGUCAUUGCUCUUCAAUAUCAGCAGUCCCUACACCCCAGUGUUUUUUAGGACAAGAGAGAGAACUGAAGAUUUUUAGAAAUCAAUUUGCUAACAUUGAGUCAUUGUCAACAGCAGGAUUUUAUGAGUUUGAUCAGAAUGAUAAUAACAGGUAAAAUUUACUACCAUCUGACCAUUUGCUAAGUCCCUCAAGCUAAGUCAUUAUGUAGGAUCAACUUUCCUGAUUAAAAUAAACCAACCCAUUUCAAUAGAUUUUUUCUAAAUAUUUCCAAAUAGUAGAGAAUACGAUAUAUUCUUUACUGGCUAUCUCUGUCCAUGUAUGCAAAUCUCCAUUAAAUUAUAAGUCAGUCAACACCUUAUUAUUGCUAGAAAUUCGAGUUCAUAUCCAAAAGUACAGAUACUAUUUCUUAUGAAGAGUUCCUAAAGUGUAAUUAUCAUUUUUACCAAUUGAAUGAGGUACGCCACUUAAGAGGACUAGAUUGUAGUUCUUUCUGAUUACCAAACCAUUACAGUUGAGCAAACAAUUUCUACUGCAAUAAAUUGAUUACAUCAAUGUAUGGAAGUAAAAAGUUUCAUUACUUCAAUUUCUUUUGAAGUAGAAAAAUGUAUACUAGUCUAGCUAUUGUUUCUUCCAACUCUCAACUGUACACAGUGGAGUUCCUGGCUUACUACAACUAUACAAAAUUGUGUGACGAAAAAAAAUGGUGACUAGUUUCCUUCUCACUUCCUCAAUCGAGAUGUGAGAUCCAUGAACAAAUCCUCACUGCAGGGAAUAGUAACACCGCCCAUUGGAUGUUCAAAGCCAAAUUCAUCCUCGGCUUGACUAAGCAAGUCUUGAAACAAAGGUUCGCUCAAGAAUGAUAUCGGAAUUACAAAUCUCUUUUUCUGCAUCUCUCCAACAUACACAGCAAAAUGGCCCUUGGGAAUAUCUCUAGUUGCGGAAGACCUCUUGAUCAUACGGAGAAUAGCCAUGAUCUCUUAGUUUUAGUAUAGAUGAGAAAAAAAGGACUGUUAAGGGAACUCAAAAGCAGAGAAAACUUUGAUGUUU